rnacentral:rRNA from 1 species
UACUCCUACGGGAGGCAGCAGUGGGGAAUUUUGGACAAUGGGCGCAAGCCUGAUCCAGCCAUGCCGCGUGUCUGAAGAAGGUCUUCGGGUUGUAAAGGACUUUUGUCAGGGAAGAAAAGGACAGGGUUAAUACCCCUGUUUGAUGACGGUACCUGAAGAAUAAGCACCGGCUAACUACGUGCCAGCAGCCGCGGUAAUACGUAGGGUGCGAGCGUUAAUCGGAAUUACUGGGCGUAAAGCGAGCGCAGACGGUUACUUAAGCAGGAUGUGAAAUCCCCGGGCUCAACCUGGGAACUGCGUUCUGAACUGGGUGACUAGAGUGUGUCAGAGGGAGGUAGAAUUCCACGUGUAGCAGUGAAAUGCGUAGAGAUGUGGAGGAAUACCGAUGGCGAAGGCAGCCUCCUGGGAUAACACUGACGUUCAUGCUCGAAAGCGUGGGUAGCAAACAGGAUUAGAUACCCUGGUAGUCCACGCCCUAAACGAUGUCAAUUAGCUGUUGGGCAACUUGAUUGCUUAGUAGCGUAGCUAACGCGUGAAAUUGACCGCCUGGGGAGUACGGUCGCAAGAUUAAAACUCAAAGGAAUUGACGGA